CACCGCGUCGAGCAUAUUCUCCCCACUCUGCCACCAGACCUAACCCUACCGAUUCCUCCCCUCGCUUCCCAUCUCACCACGCCCACCAAAGAUCUGGCCGGAUCUGCACUUGGACUGCCGGAUUCCAUCGCUCAAAGCUCGCCGACGGGGGAACCCGCAGUCCCAGGAGCCCACCCACCACAAGAAACCAACAAGCCCAAGAUCCCGUCGUUACCACCGCCUUCCGGAUUUUGAUUCGCGGAUGCGUUUCUCGGCGAGAUGAGCUCCUGGAUGGCCGGAUCGGUCCUCCUCCGUAGUUGUUGAUGGGGAGAAGAAGGCGGUUACGAUUAACAACUACCGGAGGAAGAAAUGGUCUAGCUUCAGGGAUGAGUUCUAGUGGAACAACCUGGAGCUAAAGAACUUCAAGGUGAAUAUGAAGGAGGACCAGGAGAAGGUCAAGCUCAACUUGCAGAUGCCUUGCUUCGCUGGCAACCAGACGUGAAUUUUGUGGUCUAGCCAUUUCCCUUCUAAUAUGCGCACCUGAUGUUCUCCUUGAUUAUCUCGACCUGAUGGAGUGCAUGCUACAACCGAAGCCAUGGCACUGGCUCUAAGUGUCGAGCUCACCGUGAUGCAACCGAGGCAGCAUUGUCUUCCCUGGAUUAGAUAAGUUGUUGGUCUAUCCCAUUCCCCUCUUUUUAAAAUGUUAAUUAAGUUAUGUAGUAAUGAAAAUAUUGUAUUCCAGUUCGUUUGAGCCUUAAUUCUAAGAUAAAAUGUAAAUUAAGUUAUGUAGCGGUUUCCUGAUGCCAUAGUAUGAUUUUCUUGAAGGAGGACAAAGAAUGACUUAAAGUUUGCCUGCUGCAUUACUGUGUGUUCUUCAUGAUGCAGACCAUGUUUUCAUUGUAUAUUGAGCACACAAUGUUCAUCUUCAAUCUCCCCCUAUAUUUUCUUUUGCCGGUAAUUCAUGACAUAUUUUUUAAGUUUCUCAUCGUCUGUAUUUUACCUGCAUUUACUUUUUUGAGUUCACCCCUUUGCUUCAGUUAUAGACUUACAGUCCAUUUGGAGUCUCUAGUGCGUGUGUUAUUGGACAAUGCACCAUGUUAUGGACCAUGUGUAAUGGAGUAGUUAAAUAAUUUGCAUGAUUUUAUUCAACAAUCAACUUUUUGACAUGCAUGCCUUUGGAUGGUCAAUGUUGUGCAGGAUGGAUGGAUGAGCCUGAGGCUUGUUGUUGGACAGCUGCUGGGACGUGAUGCCAGAGGGUGCAGUGCACAAGGGGAGAGGUUGGCAGGUUGUUGUGGCGUUGGUGGAGCAGAGGUCCUAACGAUGCAACAACAAAAAGCGACCUGGAGGUUGGGACUAGUCUGGCCGGCCGGCCGGAAGGACAUCCUUCAUGCUUUCGACUUGUGAUGGAUGUUGCCUAGGAUAUAUGGUUCUGUAAUGUGUUCCAUUUUUGGCUUAGAUUCAGUUGCAGCCCUUUCUUGUAUAUGUGAUUUGUGGGAAAUACUGUAAUAGAGUUAAAUAUGGAUCUGUUAAAAAGAAUUUCAUAUAUUCA